UAGUCCACGCCGUAAACGAUGGAUACUAGCUGUUGGGCGCAAGUUCAGUGGCUAAGCGAAAGUGAUAAGUAUCCCACCUGGGGAGUACGAACGCAAGUUUGAAACUCAAAGGAAUUGACGGGGGCCCGCACAAGCGGUGGAGCAUGUGGUUUAAUUCGAUGAUACGCGAGGAACCUUACCAAGGCUUAAAUGUAGAUUGACAGGACUGGAAACAGUUUUUUCUCGGACAAUUUACAAGGUGCUGCAUGGUUGUCGUCAGCUCGUGCCGUGAGGUGUCAGGUUAAGUCCUAUAACGAGCGCAACCCCUGUUGUUAGUUGCCAGCGAGUCAUGUCGGGAACUCUAGCAAGACUGCCAGUGUAAACUGUGAGGAAGGUGGGGAUGACGUCAAAUCAUCACGGCCCUUACGCCUUGGGCUACACACGUGCUACAAUGGACGGUACAGAGAGCAGCCACUAUGCAAAUAGGCGCGAAUCUAUAAAACCGUUCUCAGUUCGGAUCGG
rnacentral:rRNA from 1 species